GUGGGGAAUAUUGCACAAUGGGCGCAAGCCUGAUGCAGCAACGCCGCGUGAGGGAUGACGGCCUUCGGGUUGUAAACCUCUUUUAGUAGGGAAGAAGCGUAAGUGACGGUACCUGCAGAAAAAGCACCGGCUAACUACGUGCCAGCAGCCGCGGUAAUACGUAGGGUGCAAGCGUUGUCCGGAAUUAUUGGGCGUAAAGAGCUCGUAGGCGGCUUGUCGCGUCUGCUGUGAAAACCCGAGGCUCAACCUCGGGCUUGCAGUGGGUACGGGCAGGCUAGAGUGCGGUAGGGGAGAUUGGAAUUCCUGGUGUAGCGGUGGAAUGCGCAGAUAUCAGGAGGAACACCGAUGGCGAAGGCAGAUCUCUGGGCCGUAACUGACGCUGAGGAGCGAAAGCAUGGGGAGCGAACAGGAUUAGAAACCCGUGUAGUCC
rnacentral:rRNA from 1 species